rnacentral:tRNA from 1 species
GGGGUUGUGGCUCAGCUGUAGAGUGCUCGCCUAGCACAUGAGAGGCCCUGUGUUUGAUCCUCAGCACCACCU